UACAGAGGUGGCAAGCGUUGUUCGGAAUUACUGGGCGUAAAGGGCGCGUAGGCGGGCUGUCCAGUCUGGGGUGAAAUCCCGCGGCUCAACCGUGGAACUGCCUCAGAUACUGACGGCCUCGAGGGAGAUAGGGGCAUGCGGAACUGUAGGUGGAGCGGUGAAAUGCGUUGAUAUCUACAGGAACUCCGGUGGCGAAGGCGGCGUGCUGGAUCUCUUCUGACGCUGAGGCGCGAAAGCUAGGGGAGCAAACGGG
rnacentral:rRNA from 1 species